AAAUAUCCUUGUAAUGUACGUAGAUAAAAUUGAUCAGAUAAGAAGGAAAUCAGAGAGCAACCUUCCUGGAUUCAACACAAGAGAGCCUCAGUUCCUGUAGUGUAUUCGACAGCAGUCUAGCAUGGCUUCCCUCUGUGAGAUUCCACUAAGCUGCUGACUCAGACAGAAGCAGGCAUCAUCUAGUCAAACCACGGUGGAGCUUGGGGACUCUGAUGGAAGAAGAGAAUGAAAAGGAUUAUGGCCUCUAAGGAUAUAGGCACUCCACAGGCUUUGUCUUCAUGCAGGCUAUGGUGUUGUGAAGACAAGAUACCACAUGUGCAGCUGUGAAUAAGUCUGAGAAGGCUGACUUCUUGGAUUUCUGAAGCAUUACUAAGUGAUCCAGAGGAAAACAGCACGCCCUGCUCAGCAGAGCUCUGGGAAUACUGACACUCUUGCUUCAUGUUUAUAUUAACCUAGGUCAAAAGAUCACCUGUCAGGUAUGUUCUUGAAUAUUCUUCAGUGUGCUAGCAUUGGAUUGAAAUGAAAUACUCUUCAGGAGAGGUGGGGGAAACAACUGAACUCUUCCAUUAGAAUCAGAGAGAUGAGCUGUAUUGACCUUCAAUUGACUGUGUAUGCUUCUGGUCUUUGGCUUUGACUAUGCAGAUCUAUUGUCUCAUACAUCAUUGUUCAUGUGGCCAAGUUGCGGGGAAAGCGCGACACACAAUUCUUUCCCAUUUUCACAUCCUCCAUUCUAGGGUAAUAGAUUUUAGAAAAGCCCUUCCCAUUUUAUAUAGUAUACCAACUGACCUAACUUUUCUUCAAUAAGCUCUUCACUAUUAUCUGUAUACCGUGUUUGUGUUUGUGUUUGUUUGUAUGUGUGUGUGUGUGUGUGUGUGUGUGUGUGUGUGUGUGUUUCAGUUUGUGCGCUUAAAUGGUUAGUUUGUAUGCAAGUUUAGAGAAGGAUUCUAUGUAAGAAAUCUCUAAACUGUGGAUGGGGCAGCAUCCAAAUGUUCUCCCACAUCAUGACCUUCUAGAAAGAGUAGCAUAAUCUGCAAAAAAUAAUACAGUUGAAAGUAAAACUUGGAGGAAAUGCCCUGGGAUGGCUACAUUAUCACUGUUGACUGUGACGUUUUUCUCUUGGCUUCUGUGGCCAGACAUGAAGGCUCUGAAGCAAAGUUGCAUCCUGUUGAUCUGUGAAUAAGAUGAAGGAGGCUAUCAACUGGGUCACAUGAAUCAUAUGAAAAGCGUGACAGCAGCAGCUCUCUGCUCCCAGACCCCGUGAGAGAGAGACCCAACCGCCUGGUCAGGUGGGCACUCCUGAGGCUGCAGAGCAGAAGAGACCACCAGCACUGCUCACCCCUGCCCACAUCCCUGGCCCAAGAGGAAACUGUAUAAGGCCUCUGGGCUCCCGUGUAGGAGGGCCCAGGAGCAGCAGGACCCCUGCCUAAGACACCCCGGAACCUGAAGGAAACAGACCGGAUAAACAGUUCUCUGCACCCAAAUCCCGUGGGAGGGAGAGCUAAACCAUCAGAGUGGCAGACAAGCCUGGGAAAAAAGGAGAGACUGCUCUCUGCACACACAUCUUGGACGCCAGAGGAAAAAGCCAAAG